GGCUCCCAGACUGCAGGACGCACAAAACAAGUGUGCUGGACUCCAGCAUUACGAUGUUCUCUUCCUCUGCCCCAAACCAUCAUGGUGCAGGAGUGCGUUGCCUGUAUGGUGCCGAUAACCAAUUUCUGGAAGGUCGCCAGGAGAGAAUUUGGAGGAAUGUGCAGAAAACUAGAUAUGACGAAGAGCUGAAACUCUAUGACUGGUGCUGCAACCGGGCUGGAAACCAACAGGUCUGCGAUAAGUAUGGCCAGAAAAGGCCCAAGAUCGGCUGCGAUGGACACAGGGCUCCUAUGUAGGCACAAGAACUUCCCUCUUCCAGCCCAUCUUUUUCGGCAACUGAUGGACCUCACCGGCUCUCUCAUUUACAGCCUCCAGGGAACAAACCUUGCACUCCUCUGUUUUAUGAAGGAGUGGAACCAGCAAACAAUGACCGAAUCCUUUAUUUGUCGGAAUUAUCAUCGUUGCUGAAUAAAAACACCUUCCCACC